rnacentral:rRNA from 1 species
UACGGGGGGGGCAAGCGUUGUUCGGAAUUACUGGGCGUAAAGGGCUCGUAGGUGGCCAACUAAGUCAUACGUGAAAUCCCUCGGCUUAACCGGGGAACUGCGUCUGAUACUGGAUGGCUUGAGUUUGGGAGAGGGAUGCGGAAUUCCAGGUGUAGCGGUGAAAUGCGUAGAUAUCUGGAGGAACACCGGUGGCGAAGGCGGCAUCCUGGACCAACACUGACACUGAGGAGCGAAAGCCAGGGGAGCAAACGGG